rnacentral:rRNA from 1 species
CCUACGGGAGGCAGCAGUAGGGAAUCUUCCGCAAUGGGCGCAAGCCUGACGGAGCAACGCCGCGUGAGUGAUGAAGGCCUUCGGGUUGUAAAACUCUGUCUUCUGUGAAGAACCAUCCUGUGCAGAGAAAGCUCAGGACCUGACGGUAACAGAGGAGGAAGCCCCGGCUAACUACGUGCCAGCAGCCGCGGUAAUACGUAGGGGGCAAGCGUUGUCCGGAUUCACUGGGCGUAAAGCGCGCGCAGGCGGUCUCUCACGUCCGGGGUGAAAGCCCAGAGCUCAACUCUGGGAUUGCCUUGGAUACGGGGAGACUUGAGGAUCGGAGAGGCAAGGGGAAUUCCACGUGUAGCGGUGAAAUGCGUAGAGAUGUGGAGGAACACCUGUGGCGAAGGCGCCUUGCUGGCCGAUUUCUGACGCUGAGGCGCGAAAGCGUGGGGAGCAAACAGGAUUAGAUACCCUGGUAGUCCACGCCGUAAACGAUGAGUGNUGUGUAGGGUCCGACCCGUACGUGCGACGCACGCAUAGACACUCCGCCGUCGGGAGGUACGGUCGCGAGACGUAGAACGUUAAAGUAGUAGUUAGACGGACGUGAGACGUUGCCGACGGACGACGACGAGGGAGGAGG